CCUACGGGAGGCAGCAGUAAGGAAUAUUGGUCAAUGGACGAAAGUCUGAACCAGCCAUGCCGCGUGAAGGAUGAAGGUCCUCUGGAUUGUAAACUUCUUUUAUCUGGGACGAAAAAAGGGAAUUCUUUCUCACUUGACGGUACCAGAGGAAUAAGCACCGGCUAACUCCGUGCCAGCAGCCGCGGUAAUACGGAGGGUGCAAGCGUUAUCCGGAUUCACUGGGUUUAAAGGGAGCGUAGGUGGGUCUGUAAGUCAGUGGUGAAAUCUCCGAGCUUAACUCGGAAACUGCCAUUGAUACUAUAGAUCUUGAAUUAUCUGGAGGUAAGCGGAAUAUGUCAUGUAGCGGUGAAAUGCUUAGAUAUGACAUAGAACACCAAUUGCGAAGGCAGCUUACUACGGAUAUAUUGACACUGAGGCUCGAAAGCGUGGGGAUCAAACAGGAUUAGAUACCCUGGUAGUCCACGCCCUAAACGAUGGAUACUCGACAUCAGCGAUACACUGUCGGUGUCUGAGCGAAAGCAUUAAGUAUCCCACCUGGGAAGUACGACCGCAAGGUUGAAACUCAAAUGAAAUUGACCGGNGUAGAGAGAGACGACGGACGACGACGAGGGAGGAGG
rnacentral:rRNA from 1 species